AUGUUUAUUCUUACUUCUUUCUACUUGCACAGCCUAACACAUUUAUUCUUCCCACAGGAGUUACUCUGAUAUGCAUUAGACAUUAAUAUGCACAUUUGAAUGAGGAGUCAGAUUUCAAGUUACAAUAAAAACCACUUGUAAAGAAUUUUCUCCUGAAUUCAAAUCUUUAAAACAGCCACAACAGAUUAAAUUAUUUUUUUAAGGAAGUAGUAUGUUCUAGCAUACUUGUGGCUCUACUUCUGCAUUGCCAGUGCUGCUGGGCUGCUUAAGAGGUAACAGGCUGACCGGGGGAGGAACAAGGACAUUUUGAUACUGCUGUGCCAGCUGGAACAAACCUGAGAGCCUGGACUUUCUGUGGAUGAACAGGUGGGCAUUCAUACCCUGGGCAGAGCUGGAAGAAAGCCAUGGCUGCUGCAAAGUCCUCCCAGAACAGACUUUGGUCAGACUGUACUGGAGAAUUUCUAAUGGGAAGGCUGUUCAUCUUUCGUUCAUCUUUAAGGUCUGAAAAGACCCAGCCGGCUACAUCCAGUUGUGAGUGCCUACAUAAUAUAUCCACUCUCUUCCACAUCGGGGGACAUGUGAAAUCAGUGGCUUCAGAUGUACAGGAGAGAAUCAAACUGUAACAUCUCACCUCCCCUAACUUGCUAACCACAAUUAUCUACAUUUUAAUAAUAAGACUUUUAUUAGUAUUGGAAAUGCUACUUGUCCUACAACUUCCAAUGAGUUGUUAAAUCCCUAACUGCUUCUUCCCAUCCCAUUUCUUUAAUAGAUCACCUAUAUAGAAUUUUAUGGACAUUCUAAGAAAUGUUAUAGACUCCGUAGUCUUGGAUUAAAGUGGAGUAAAAUAGUAAAUUUUUGUUAGGUCAAUCAAAU
rnacentral:lncRNA from 1 species